GUCUAAGCUAAAGCACCCUGAUUUAAUCCAAAAUCUUAUUUGCUGUUCCUGAACCCAACGUUGAAAGAUCUUUUUCACAUUCGAAAUUCGUUCUUUCAUCACAUAGAUCGAAAAGAGUGACUCUUGGAAGCUCUUCGCGCUAUGACUUCCGAAGACUCUCUAGCUCCUAACAACGACUCCACUCUAGAAGCUUUGUUUCUAAAAACCCUACAUGUGAUUCAGAAUUUGUUUACUCAAGCCAAAACAAUUAUUUAGCUCCUUAUAUCAACCUCGACGAAGCAGUUAGAUUUUUUAAAAAAGACUCUUCUGGAGGCCUUGAUGACAUUCGUGCUAUCUUUAUCCAAGACAUUUUAAAACCCAACAUUCCAUGUAAAGUCCUUUUACAGAACCUUACCAUAUUAAAUAUAAUUCUCAACGGGCCCCUUCCAUCACUUAUCAUUCCUAUUCUCUUUGGCGCUCGCCUAAUAGCCCUCAAAAAAAGGAUGGAGAUAUUCGCCCAAUCGCUGUUGGGUCUUUCUUCCGAAGAACCGUCUCCAAGAUCAUUGCUUCACGAAUCAAGGAAUCUCAUUCCUCAUUUCUCUCACCGCUAGAGGCGGUGAAAUUUCAGCCCACCUUGCUCGUAUAACUAUAGCUAACAGUAUCCACAAUGAUGUGGUACUAAAACAUGAUUUCAACAAUGCCUUUAACACAAUAAAACGUCAACACUUUGUUCCCCUGUUCUGCAAUAAAUAUCCCGAAUACUCUUCUUACAUCCUCCACAGUUAUUCAAGCCCCACUUUUCUAAAAUAGAAUACAACAUAAUCAAAUCUCAAGAGGGAAUUCAACAGGGAGACCCUUGAGGCAUAGCCCUUUUUUGCAUCGGGAUCCACAGAAUAAUCCAGGAAAUUCAAUCUAAAUCCUUCCUUACCUUAAAUUCCUGGUAUCUAUAUGGUGGCAUUGUCUCGGGCAACCUUUCCACAAUCAUGUCUACCCCCCUCAUCAUAGAGAAUCUCUCACAUAUUACAGGACUAUCACUCAAUCUCCUCAAAUGUGAGAUUUGCUUCCUAAAUUCUACAUCCAUUUCUUCAGACAUGAUAUACCAGGCAGAGAUGAGAUAACACAUCUUGGAUCACCUAUAGUGGGUAAAAAGGCAAUCAAAACUUUUUUAAACAAAUCCCUUAGCAAUUUAUCCGAAUUAAACACAUUAUUUAAUUACCUCAUCGCCCAUCAAUAUUAUUUUAAUAAAAAAUUAUUUCAAUAUACCUAAAUUCCUUUACCCCCUCAGAUCCUCUCCGAUCUUCAAAUGCAGCGACUUGCUCAUUUCCCAUGGAACCCAAAUCAAGGGCUUUCUUGAAAAUAUAUUAAGCCUACCAAUUCAUCUUGGCUCAGGCCACCUUUCCUAGCAAGUCCGGUGGUAUUGGUAUCCGAUCCACGAUACAACUAUCCCUCUCAACCUUUAUCUCUUCUCGCCUGGCUGCUCAAUCUAUUAUCGAAAUGGAUCCACUACUUCAGAUACUGACCUUUCUCGACCUUCACCUUCUGAGACAGCAAUUGCGCAUCCAGUCUUUGUCGACCUGCCUCCAGCAUUCAAAAAGACUGGGAUGUUUCUCUGAGCGCCCGUUACGUUGAAUACUUAAUUUCAACAGGCCCUUUGAAGACAAUCUUAAUAAUUUAGUAUUAUAUGCAAAUUCAGGUUACGAAUGGUUGGAAGCCAACCCCGGUUCCAAUCUUGACCUCCUCUUGACUGGUGAACAGCUACGCAUCUCCAUAGCCCUUCGCCUUGGUUGUAAUGCUGUAGUUCCCUCCUAGACUGUGGCCAUCACAUUGAAUCAGCUUACCAUCCCUUGCACUGGAAGUUCUCCCAUGGAUGACAAUCGCGUCAUAAAUCUAUCAACAAUCUAGCGACCCUCAAAAAAGUUAAUAUUCCAUCCACCCUCGAACCAGUGGGUAUUUCAAACGAAAAUGCCAUACGCCCCGAUGGGAUAUCUCUCAUCCCCUUAACUAAUGGUCUUCCGCUCGCUUGGGACUAUACCUGUGUCGAUUUUGCAGUAAAGUCCAACCUCUCUUUUUCUGCCAUUGAAAAGGCUGAAAUUCUAAAAAAAACAAACAUAGGAAAAAAAUGAGACAGAUUUCAAGACCCAAUGAAGAAUUUUACCUUCGUCAGCAGAUUUCCCUGGAUAUCUGCAGGUCCAAUUUUUAAAUAUUCACUCUUCUCUAGGGUGAUAUGUACCCUUUUUUAAAAUAUUUUUCCUUAGUUAUUUUUUUAUACAUAUAUUUUUUUUAAUUUCAUUUUUUAAUAUAUAUAUUUUUUUAAAAAACUAAUGUAUAUAUCCCAUUUUAAAAUAAAUAAAAUGAUUUGACCAUUUUGCAUAAAAAAAAAUAUAUCCCUCCAUCUCCAAAGAAAA